CCUACGGGUGGCAGCAGUGGGCAAUAUUGCACAAUGGGGGAAACCCUGACGCAGCGACGCCGCGUGAGUGAAGAAGUAAUUCGUUACGUAAAGCUCUAUCAGCAGGGAAGAAACACUGACCUUACGGUCAGCAGACGGUACCUGAGUAAGAAGCCCCGGCAAACUACGUGCCAGCAGCCGCGGUAAUACGUAGGGGGCAAGCGUUGUCCGGAAUGACUGGGCGUAAAGGGAGUGUAGGCGGCCUUUUAAGUUAUAUGUGAAAGCCCCCGGCUUAACCGAGGAACUGCAUAUAAAACUGGAGGGCUGGAGUGCAGGAGAGGUAAGCGGAAUUUCUAGUGUAGCGGUGGAAUGCGUAGAUAUUAGGAAGAACACCGGAGGCGAAGGCGGCUUACUGGACUGUAACUGACGCUGAGGCUCGAAAGCGUGGGGAGCAAACAGGAUUAGAUACCCGAGUAGUC
rnacentral:rRNA from 1 species